AUUCGCAGAAGCCUGCCUUUUAUUGCUACCAAAAACAUUAAACAAACGUGCCACAUCACUUCAUUUUGGACACUUCAUCAAUACGUGGCACAGUCGCGCUUAAACAGAGUUGCAUAUGU
rnacentral:lncRNA from 1 species